AACGAACGCUGGCGGCAGGCUUAACACAUGCAAGUCGAACGCCCCGCCAGGGGAGUGGCAGACGGGUGAGUACCGCGUGGGAAUCUACCCAUCCCUACGGAAUAACGCAUGGAAACGUGUGCUAAUACCGUAUACGCCCUACGGGGGAAAGAUUUAUUGGGGAUGGAUGAGCCCGCGUUGGAUUAGCUAGUUGGUGGGGUAAAGGCCUACCAAGGCGACGAUCCAUAGCUGGUCUGAGAGGAUGAUCAGCCACAUUGGGACUGAGACACGGCCCAAACUCCUACGGGAGGCAGCAGUGGGGAAUAUUGGACAAUGGGCGCAAGCCUGAUCCAGCCAUGCCGCGUGAGUGAUGAAGGCCUUAGGGUUGUAAAGCUCUUUCACCGGAGAAGAUAAUGACGGUAUCCGGAGAAGAAGCCCCGGCUAACUUCGUG
rnacentral:rRNA from 1 species